rnacentral:rRNA from 1 species
GAUGAACGCUGACAGAAUGCUUAACACAUGCAAGUCAACUUGAACUUCGGUUUGGGUGGCGGACGGGUGAGUAACGCGUAAAGAACUUGCCUCACAGAUAGGGACAACAUUUGGAAACGAAUGCUAAUACCUGAUAUUAUGAUUUUAGGGCAUCCUAGGAUUAUGAAAGCUAUAUGCGCUGUGAGAGAGCUUUGCGUCCCAUUAGCUAGUUGGAGAGGUAACGGCUCACCAAGGCGAUGAUGGGUAGCCGGCCUGAGAGGGUGAUCGGCCACAAGGGGACUGAGACACGGCCCUUACUCCUACGGGAGGCAGCAGUGGGGAAUAUUGGACAAUGGACCAAGAGUCUGAUCCAGCAAUUCUGUGUGCAAGAUGAAGUUUUUCGGAAUGUAAAGUGCUUUCAGUUGGGAAGAAAAAAAUGACGGUACCAACAGAAGAAGUGACGGCUAAAUACGUG